CGGAAUCACGGAAGUGCCACUUGGUUUAACAAAUUAAAUAUAAAAAAGAAAAAAAAGGUUUCUUGAAAUAAGAUUUGAUGGUAUUUUUCCACCUGUAAAAAUAAAAUACAAAAAGAUGAGCCCACAAGAAAUAAUUUCUUUUUCGGUUCAAGUGCAUUACAGUUUUUAAAUGGAAAAUAAAACUGAGACAGGAGAAAUUUUUAGUAUUAUUUUUCGGACUUGUACGUAGACGAUAUUAGGAGAAUCGUUCAACGCGUUCGUAAAAUCAUGAAUUUGCGCAUUUAGCUA